rnacentral:lncRNA from 1 species
UGAAGUAUCGCGUCCUGACAAGUGCGAUGUAACGUGUCAAGAGAAAGGUUUUAAUAGAGGGAUAUAUGUAAAUGAAGGUCUCAGUGUUGCGAAAUGUUGUUGCGAUAAAAGUUCUACGCCAUCGAUAUUGUCUGAACCUGUUAUACCUCCCGAUCAUAAGAGAUAUGCUCCAUCGAUAUUGUCUGAACCUGUUAUACCUCCCGAUCAUAAAAGGUUUGCGCCAUCGAUAUUGUCUGAACCUGUUAUACCUCCUGAUCAUAAGAGAUAUGCUCCAUCGAUAUUGUCUGAACCUGUUAUACCUCCCAAUCAUAAAAGGUUUGCACCAUCGAUAUUGUCUGAACCUGUUAUACCUCCCGAUCAUAAAAGAUAUGUGCCAUCGAUAUUGUCUGAACCUGUUAUACCUCCCGAUCAUAAGAGAUAUGCUCCAUCGAUAUUGUCUGAACCUGUUAUACCUCCCGAUCAUAAAAGGUUUGCGCCAUCGAUAUUGUCUGAACCUGUUAUACCUCCCGAUCAUAAGAGAUAUGCUCCAUCGAUAUUGUCUGAACCUGUUAUACCUCCCGAUCAUAAAAGGUUUGCGCCAUCGAUAUUGUCUGAACCUGUUAUACCUCCCGAUCAUAAGAGAUAUGCUCCAUCGAUAUUGUCUGAACCUGUUAUACCUCCCGAUCAUAAAAGGUUUGCGCCAUCGAUAUUGUCUGAACCUGUUAUAUCGAUAUUGUCUGAACCUGUUAUACCUCCCGAUCAUAAGAGAUAUGCUCCAUCGAUAUUGUCUGAACCUGUUAUACCUCCCGAUCAUAAAAGGUUUGCG